GACGAACGCUGGCGGCGUGCCUAAUACAUGCAAGUUGAGCGCUGAAGGUUGGUACUUGUACCAACUGGAUGAGCAGCGAACGGGUGAGUAACGCGUGGGGAAUCUGCCUUUGAGCGGGGGACAACAUUUGGAAACGAAUGCUAAUACCGCAUAAAAACUUUAAACACAAGGUUCAAGUUUGAAAGAUGCUAUUGCAUCACUUAAUGAUGAUCCCGCGUUGGAUUAGCUAGUUGGGGAGGUAAAGGCUCACCAAGGCGAUGAUACCUAACCGAACUGAGAGGGUGAUCCGCCAAAAUGGGAAUGAGAAACGGCCCAAACUUCUACGGGAGGCAGCAGUAGGGAAUCUUCGGCAAUGGACGGAAGUCUGACCGAGCAACGCCGCGUGAGUGAAGAAGGUUUUCGGAUCGUAAAACUCUGUUGGUAGAGAAGAACGUUGGUGAGAGUGGAAAGCGCAUCAAGUGACGGUAACUACCCAGAAAGGGACGGCUAACUACGUG
rnacentral:rRNA from 1 species